AUGGAGGCUAGCGCCAAGAAGAUGCUGAGGGACGAGAUCACGGAUGCCACCGCGGCCGCAUUCGCUGGCUCCACCGUCAUCCCCGACAGGUACGUUUGGCCCGACGAGACCGCCGGCCGGGGCAGCACUGUCGUCGGAGACGACGAGAGCCUCAAGCUUAUCCCCGUCCUAGACAUGGCCAGCCUGCUGGAUGGGUCACCAGAGGAGAUCGCCAAGCUUGGCGCUGCAUGCCGGGACUGGGGUUUCUUCCAGCUAAGAAACCAUGGCGUCGACGAGACGGUUGUGGAGCGUGUGAAGGAUAGCACCCGAGAGUUCUUCAGGUUGCCACUGGAGAAGAAGAAAGCAGUGGGGAUCGUCAAGGCAGAAGAUGGCUUCCAAGGGUUUGGUCAUCACUUCAACACGUCCACGGGUAAGCUGGACUGGGCAGAGUCUCUGCUCCUCGGAACGCAGCCAAUCGGCCACAGAAACAUGGACCUGUGGCCUACUGAGCUGCCAACAUUUAGGGAUGCAGUUGAGAAGUACUCCCUAGAGAUGACCAAGUUGAAAAGCCUUCUCAUGGCGUCCAUGGCCAUUGAUCUUGGGAUCAAACCAGAGACGCUUCUCGAAACCGUCCAGGGCAAGAUCCAGAACAUCGUGUUCCACCACUACCCUCCGUGCCGGCACAACGCCGAUAAGGUGAUCGGCAUCCCACCGCACACGGACGGCCUCUUUUUGACGAUAGUCCUGGAGGUGGACGCCACGCCUGGCUUACAGGUUAGCAAUGACGGCAGGUGGUUCCCCGUGCGGCCAUUGCCGGGGUCCCUGACCGUCUUCGUAGGUGACAUCCUCGAGGUCCUCACCAACGGCAGGUACAAGAGUGUCGAACACAGGGUGCUCGUCGAUGCCGAGAGAGACCGAACCACCAUCGCCACAUUCCAAGAUGCAUGUGUCGCCGGGAUGGUGAAACCGCUCCCCGAGCUUGCGGAGGUGGCACGGUACAUUUCUAUUGAGAAACAUGACUAUGUGCAUCGCCAGUUUCAGGCACUGACUGAAAGGGCAAACAUUGUCGAUAGCCUCAAGAUAUAG
rnacentral:rRNA from 1 species